rnacentral:rRNA from 1 species
AGGGUUCGAUUCUGGCUCAGGAUGAACGCUGGCGGCGUGCUUAACACAUGCAAGUCGAGCGGAGGUAAGAUAAAAGCUUGCUUUUAACUUAUCUUAGCGGCGGACGGGUGAGUAACGUGUGGGCAACCUGCCUCAUACAGAGGGAUAAUCAUGUGAAAACGUGACUAAUACCUCAUGUCAUUGCUAGAAGGCAUCUUCAGGCAAGAAAAGGAGUAAUCCGGUAUGAGAUGGGCCCGCAUCUGAUUAGCUAGUUGGUGAGAUAAUAGCCCACCAAGGCAACGAUCAGUAGCCGACCUGAGAGGGUGAUCGGCCACAUUGGGACUGAGACACGGCCCAA